UGUGAGGUAUGCUGGAGGUAUCAGAAGUGCGAAUGCUGACAUAAGUAACGAUAAAGCGGGUGAAAAGCCCGCUCGCCGGAAGACCAAGGGUUCCUGUCCAACGUUAAUCGGGGCAGGGUGAGUCGACCCCUAAGGCGAGGCCGAAAGGCGUAGUCGAUGGGAAACAGGUUAAUAUUCCUGUACUUGGUGUUACUGCGAAGGGGGGACGGAGAAGGCUAUGUUGGCCGGGCGACGGUUGUCCCGGUUUAAGCGUGUAGGCUGGUUUUCCAGGCAAAUCCGGAAAAUCAAGGCUGAGGCGUGAUGACGAGGCACUACGGUGCUGAAGCAACAAAUGCCCUGCUUCCAGGAAAAGCCUCUAAGCAUCAGGUAACAUCAAAUCGUACCCCAAACCGACACAGGUGGUCAGGUAGAGAAUACCAAGGCGCUUGAGAGAACUCGGGUGAAGGAACUAGGCAAAAUGGUGCCGUAACUUCGGGAGAAGGCACGCUGAUAUGUAGGUGAAGUCCCUCGCGGAUGGAGCUGAAAUCAGUCGAAGAUACCAGCUGGCUGCAACUGUUUAUUAAAAACACAGCACUGUGCAAACACGAAAGUGGACGUAUACGGUGUGACGCCUGCCCGGUGCCGGAAGGUUAAUUGAUGGGG
rnacentral:rRNA from 1 species